rnacentral:rRNA from 1 species
UACGUAGGGACCAAGCGUUGUUCGGAUUUACUGGGCGUAAAGGGCGCGUAGGCGGCAUGACAAGUCACUUGUGAAAUCUCUGGGCUUAACCCAGAACGGCCAAGUGAUACUGUCGCGCUAGAGUGCGGAAGGGGCAAUCGGAAUUCUCGGUGUAGCGGUGAAAUGCGUAGAUAUCGUAAGGAAGACCAGUGGCGAAGGCGGGUCUCUGGACAGUUCCUGACGCUGAGGCACGAAGGCCAGGGGAGCAAACGGG